rnacentral:rRNA from 1 species
AUUGAACGCCGGCGGCAAGCCUAACACAUGCAAGUCGAACGAGUGGCGGACGGGUGAGUAAUGUCUGGGAAACUGCCUGAUGGAGGGGGAUAACUACUGGAAACGGUAGCCAAUACCGCAUACCAUCGGAUGUGCACAGAUGGGAUUAGCUAGUAGGUGGGGUAACGGCUCACCUAGGCGACGAUCCCUAGCUGGUCUGAGAGGAUGACCAGCCACACGGGAACGGAGACACGGUCCAGACUCCUACGGGCGGCAGAAGUGGGGCAUAUUGCACAAUGGGCGCAAGCCUUAUGCAGCCAUGCCGCGUGUAUGAAGAAGGCCUUCGGGUUGUAAAGUACUUUCAGCGGGGAGGCGUUACCCGCAGAAGAAUCACCGGCUAACUCCGUGCCAGCAGCCGCGGUAAUAC